GACGAACGCUGGCGGCGUGCUUAACACAUGCAAGUCGAACGGAAAGGCCCUGCUUUUGUGGGGUGCUCGAGUGGCGAACGGGUGAGUAACACGUGAGUAACCUGCCCUUGACUUUGGGAUAACUUCAGGAAACUGGGGCUAAUACCGGAUAGGAGCUCCUGCUGCAUGGUGGGGGUUGGAAAGUUUCGGCGGGUGGGGAUGGACUCGCGGCUUAUCAGCUUGUUGGUGGGGUAGUGGCUUACCAAGGCUUUGACGGGUGGCCGGCCUGAGAGGGUGACCGGCCACAUUGGGACUGAGAUACGGCCCAGACUCCUACGGGAGGCAGCAGUGGGGAAUAUUGCACAAUGGGCGGAAGCCUGAUGCAGCAACGCCGCGUGCGGGAUGACGGCCUUCGGGUUGUAAACCGCUUUCGCCUGUGACGAAGCGUGAGUGACGGUAAUGGGUAAAGAAGCACCGGCUAACUACGUG
rnacentral:rRNA from 1 species